rnacentral:rRNA from 1 species
GAUUAACGCGAAGAACCUUACCUGGCCUUGACAUGCAUGUGGUAGAACCAUGAAAGUGGGACGACCCCGCAAGGGGAGCAUGCACAGGUGCUGCAUGGCUGUCGUCAGCUCGUGUCGUGAGAUGUUGGGUUAAGUCCCGCAACGAGCGCAACCCUUGUGUCCUGUUGCCACCCAAACGAGAGUUUGGAGCACUCUGGACAGACUGCCUCGCUCAAACGGGGAGGAAGGUGGGGAUGACGUCAAGUCAGUAUGGCCCUUACGGCCAGGGCUGCACACGUACUACAAUGCCCGCUACAAAGGGAAGCAAGACCGCAAGGUGGAGCAAAUCCCAGAAAAGCGGGCCCAGUUCAGAUUGAGGUCUGCAACUCGACCUCAUGAAGCCGGAAUCGCUAGUAAUGGCGCAUCAGCUACGGCGCCGUGAAUACGUUCCCGGGCCUUGUACACACCGAAUCACUAGU